GAGCGCGUGCGUGUGGGUGUGAGAGGGGGAAGGGCAGAGAGAAAGAAGGAGAGAGAGAAUCCCAAGCAGGCUCUGAACUGUCAACAUGGAGCCCAACUCAGGGCUUGAUCUCACAAACUGAGAUCAUGACCUGAGCCAAAAUCCAGAGUCAGGUGCUUAACCAACUGAGCCAUCCAGGCUAAACCCACCCAAGUUUUAAACUUGCUAAAACCUUGCAAGGAUUAGAUAAAGAAACAGUUUUGACUAGGAAGAGAACAUAUACGGUGUUUGUGUUAAUUGACUUAUUUGGAACAAAAUCUGGGAGCUCAAAGUCAAUCAGAGCAAUGUUAUAACCUUGAUAAGCAAAUUCGACACCCAUGAGAAACAGUUUAUAACUUUUUCUAAGCAAAUGCAGUCUCCUAAAAGAAGCCUAACAGAAACGAAAGUUGCUAUUUCACGGAGGAGGCCAGUGUAAACUUUUUAAAGGCAGAGCAUCACAGCAGAACAUCUUAAUGAUCUAGUCAGGAACUUAAUUUCAUGGUAAAGCAAUUAGUAGGGAUUUACAUUUAAGAUACGGUUUUAUCCUUCAUAACAAAUGUUCUCUAGAUGUUGCGGUUUGACAAGUAAAUAUGUUUCCCUCAUCUGCACUAUAAAUAGAAAGUGAAAGUAGCCUUAAUGCUUGAUGUUAGCAAAAGCCUUUGUGUCAAUAACCUUUUCCCCUCAAAGUUCCUCUUUUACUACUACUAUAAUUUGAGUCAAAAAAUUUUUUAAUUAGGCUUUUAAAAAAAUUAAGGCUGAAUUAAAGUAGUUGGGGCUUCUAAUUUUCUAUUUCUGGACCAAUGUCCGGUUAAAACCAGCCAGAGUACACGACUCUUCUCUUAGAGAUAUUCACAACAGUCUCUCUCCUCCUCCCUUCCAACUACUUCAUUCCGACUCCUGUGGCCUGGUCCAAGUUCAUCAACUGCCGAUCGAAUUCCCUAGCCCAGCUAUUGAUUCGUUUCACCCAUGUAACUUAAGAUGGUUCCCUCCUAUUAUCACCCUUGGGCAUGAAAAAGAUUCAACAGCCAUUUCAUAAAAAUGAUUUCCUUAGAAAUGGUGAUCUCAUCCCCUCUAAGUACCCUCAGAUCAUAUGCCAUUUCUUCAUGUACUCCAUGGCUUUGAACCUGCCUCCUGUUGUCCCUAUGUUCUUUAGAAGUAUAAAGCCAUGGCAUAAGCAUUUGCUGACCAGUAGCAACCAGGGAUGUGGCAGGGAAAAAGAUCAUGGAGUAAAACCUCCCAAACGUCUAAAUAAUCCACCAUAGAACACAUCAUACAUAUGUAAUCCAUAAAAAUUUCAAAACCUAGCUAAACAUGUAUGUAUGUAUGUAUGUAUGUAUUUGGCCUGUUUGCACUUCUUGGAGUAAUGAGUGAAUUACUUUAAGAAAAUGCCAUUUAUUUUCAUGUUAGAAAUAACACGUAAAUGAGAUUAGCAGGAGGGGGUGUUGUGCUUAAAUAAUCGGAAUGCCCAAGACCUUGUUCUUGGAAGCAGUUGGGUGAGUAAUCAUUGUUCUGUGUCCUUGUGUGGGUGCAGAUUGAUUAUUCUUAUCUGGAUCUCAAGCUUUCCUCACAGGAAGGGAAGAAAGUUCCUUAUAGUAACGGGAAGGAAGCCAUGUGACAGGCACAGAAUAUGACCUCGACAGAAGAGCAGUUUAUGUCAGAGCCCCAAAAGACUGACAGAACAGUGCAGAAGGAAUGGCCUGCUCCAUGGGAGACGCAGGAUCACACCAGGCCUGGAGGGUUGCAGGCGCAAGUCUACCUCUCGGACACAGGAGACAACACGCUACAUUUUGUGGGAACACUCUUAGGUGAUGUUUUAGCACGGCUCAUUUCAUUUUGUAAAUAUUUUAUUGAGUACUUCCCUGUCCCAAGGACAGUUCUGAGGUUUGUUAUGUAUCCGUCAGCAAAGAUGGACUCCUUUAUGGAGUUUUCAUUCCAGUGGUGGCACAGAGACUACAAAUUAGACACACAAUUAAUUAAUUAAUUAGAAUAAAGGCGAUGAAGGGACGCCUGGGUGGCUCAGUUGGUUGAAGUGUCCAACAUCGGGUCAGGUCAUGAUCUCUCAGGUUCGUGAGUUCAAGCCCCACGUUGGGGUCUGUGUUGACAGCCCAGAACCUGGAGUCUGCUUCAGAUUCUGUGUCUCCCUCUCUCUCUCUGUCCCUCCCCUGCUCACACUCUGUCGCUGUCUCUCAAAAAUGAAUAAAUGUUAGGGGCGCCUGGGUGGCGCAGUCGGUUAAGCGUCCGACUUCAGCCAGGUCACGAUCUCGCGGUCCGUGAGUUCGAGCCCCGCGUCAGGCUCUGGGCUGAUGGCUCAGAGCCUGGAGCCUGUUUCCGAUUCUGUGUCUCCCUCUCUCUCUGCCCCUCGCCCGUUCAUGCUCUGUCUCUCUCUGUCCCAAAAAUAAACGUUGAAAAAAAAUUAUAAAAAAAAUGAAUAAAUGUUAAAAAAAUGAAAAAAUAAAGAGGAUAAAAAGACUAGGAGAAAACUGAGAAUAACAGAGUUUCGAAACGUGGUUGUGGGAAAGACACAAUUUUUAAUACCAUGAUCAGCAUGGUCCCCAUUGAGGAGUGCUUUAAAGUGAGAUCAUGCCUGUGUGUCUGUGUGCAUCCUAUUUUUGUCUCAUUUUUUAAAGAUGUCUAUUUUGAGAGAGCAAGCGAGUGAGAGCGAGUGGGGAAGAGAUAGAGACAGAUGAAGAGAGAGAAUCUCAAGCGGGUCCCGUGAUCUCAGUGCAGAGCCUGACGCGGGACUUGAUCUAAUGAAACGUGAGAUCAUGACUUGAGCUGAAAUCAAGAGUCAGUUGCUCAGCUGACUGAGCCCCCCAGGCACUCUGAGAUUGCCUCAUGUUAAUUAGUUAGUAAAUCUUUAAGCUGCUUAUGCUGUCUUAAGAAAAGAUUGUUUUCUUCUGCCCUGUUUAAAGAGCAAGGCAGGAGACGUGGCCAGAAGUGGGGUUAGCAUGGAAAAUACCAGCUACAAAAUAGGAGUCAACGGGCUGAGGUGUUGGUUAGUGUCCAGCGCAAAGCAGGGUUGUGAUCAAAUAGUGGCAUCUUCCUGUGGUUGUGUUAUGACCCAGGACUGAAGGACUUGACGACUGUAGCUAGCCCUCUCCUCUGCCAGGGAGUUCGGUGGCAACUGUCUACCAGGUAGUACGUUUUUAAUUGUCCUAAACUUACCACAGGUUUCAAGGAUGCUCGUUGUUUUAAUAUUCUGCCACUGGACUUGGUAAGCAAGCCUGCUUUGGACUUAUGUCACGUCACUGAUGAUUUCCUAUGCCUCCUCGGUCCUUAGCUUUCCCAGAUUCAGCAUGUCUAAUUACUCGGUACAUUUGCUGUCUCUGCCCCACGCUGCAUUCCCCACACUCUGUUAAAUUAUUUCUCAUCUCCUUAACCCCCCUACCUUCCUCAUUAAUCACCCCCCAACCCAAAUCACACACACACACCAAGCAGAAAAUGAGCUUCUCGUAAGCAGAGACCAACUCUAGGCACAAAAAAAUCAUUUUUAGUUAAUGAUUUUUGACUUCCAAUUGUACAGCAGUUAGGAUUAAUAGUAAUAAUAGCAACAGCUAAUGUAUUUGUUUACAAAAUAUUUUACCAUUUAUUGUCUUCGUUGACCCUCAGAGCAACUCUGUGAGGUAGGUAGGUCCAAUUGCAUUGUUAUCCCAAAGCAGAGAAGGGUCUGAGGUGCAGAGAAAUUCAGUGGCUUGCUUAAAAUCGUACCAGCAGGAGGUCCUUCAGGAGUAGGGCUUCAGUCCCGAUGAUCUUAGGACCCUGAACCCAUUCAGCUACCCGGUAAUAAUCUCAGCUGCCAUUUCUGAAUUUGAUUCUGUACCACCCAGAACUGCAUAUAGCACAAAAGUGGGAGGUUUCCUUUUUUUCUUAUAGUACUUUAACCUGUCCAUUUUAUUGGUAUGUGUGUUGUUGUUUGUUUGUUUUAGCUAGUCUGGUACAUGGGGCAGGUAUCCUAGAGAAUAGUAUGCAAUCUCUCCCUUUUACUCUAUCCUGAGUUAUCAGCCUCUAAGGAAAUUACAGUAAUUCGGGAAGGGCUUCUGUCCUUACUAGGCUUAGUGAAAAUUGUCCUGUCCAUUCACAUAGACUAGCAAGUUUGAUGACUUAACUUUACUGGCUUUUCACUAGUAAAAAACAUGUCAUCUCUGCAUACAUUCCAUUUCAAAGUAUAUUUACACAAGAAUUUGUGGGAAAUGUUGUUUUUUGUUUUUUAGAGAGAGAAGGGGGGUGCAGAGGGAGAGAGAGGGAGAAUCUUGAGCAGGCUCCAUACUCGCUCAGUGUGGACCCUGACACAGGGCUUGAUCCCACAACCCCGGGAUCAUGACCUGAUCAAAACCCAAGAGUCAGAUGCUCAAUGGACUGAGCCAUCCAAGCACCCUGAUUUGUGGCAAAUGUUAAGCAGGAUAAGUCAUGCACUGAUCACUGAGGAAUAAUACUGUUAAAUUCCUGCAUUCAUAGCCCAUUUAGCCUUGCUCCUUGUUUCUGCCUCUGAUCCAUUCCCAUUCCCAUACAAAACAGCCUUCUUGUAUAUACUCAGAUAAAGCUAUAAAGUCUUCACUGGUAUGAUGCUUGGAGUGACAAAACUACUAAGACCGCCCUCUAUGAGGUAGGUAUCCCUGCAUUACCCCAUGCCCACAUUGACUACCACCAAUCAAGUGGAUAGCCAUCCACUCAGCACAUACCAAGGUUGUAUUCUCUCAGGCCCAUGUACUGGUCAUCAUCCAAAACCCCUUUCAGCCAUUCCUUGGCUAACCACUUAAUAGUCACUGCUCCGUGGACGCCCAUAACACCCGUCAGUACAACCCUCUACUCUUCCUCAGGCGUGGAUCUCAAGUUUGUCCUUCCUCAUUCUGGGAACACUUUGCUUCCGACUCAGUCUUCCUCUUUGUCUCAGGGAUGCCCUCAUUGUAAUUUCCACCAAAGGGUAAAGACUAACUGAGCAAUAAGGAAGUACUGGGAGGCGGUGGAGUGAGUUAACUCUUUGGCUUCGAUCCUUAAGUCCCUAAUACCAACACAUAUUUGACCUCUAAGGGUACUGGUAUUGUACCAUUUACCAUUUCGUUUAUGUAAAAUGAAGUGCUUAAACAACUGCCAAAGAGGCAGAGUAGCAUCCCAGGUAAGAUGAUGGGCUUUGCAAUCAUUAGGAGCCGUGUCAUACCCACUUACUAGCUAUGAAACCCUCAGCAAGGCACUCAUCUUCUCUAAACUUUAUUUUCCUUGUCUGUAAUGUGAGGACAAUAAUAGUUCCUACCUCACAUAGCAUGGUGCCUCAGUUAGGGUGAAUGUCAGAAAGUGUGAGCUAUUGUUAUUUACAUGUGAUUGUUACUGACAUUUAAAAGUGCUUAGGGGUUCCUGGCAGGCUCAGUUGGUUGAGCAGCGAACUUCGGCUCAGGUCAUGAUCAUGGCUUCAAGCCCGGAGUCAGGCUCUGUGCUGACAGCUCAGAACCUGGAGCCUGCUUCGGAUUCUGUGUGUCCCUCUCUCUCUGCCCCUCCCCCACUAACAUUUCAAAAAAUUGAAAAAAAUAAAUAAAAGUGCUUAAAUGCUUGGAUUUACCCUAGUCCUCAUACGCCUCCGGACAACUGCUGCUGCUUUCCAAACUCUGGGUGUUAACUGUACACAAAACAGAACUUCCAUCUUCGCUGUAGCAGAAGAAGGAAGCCUUGUGUAAGAUUGUUGUGCAAAGCUGUUGCCCUUGUGAAGCCUAAAUGUCACCACCUGGUGGUAAACAGUAUUUACCAGUCAAAAUGACUUUGGAAGCAAAUGUCGUUUGAAGGCAUGGACACUUGUGUAUAAGCAAUUCUAGUCUCCUGGCAACGUACAGGAUGGUUUUAGUUUUAUUUCCUACUCUGAGUUAUUUAGUCUGGAGAGGUGGGAUUUGGUUGUGUCCUUUUUACAUAUCUUGCAAAGAUUUCAGAAACUUGAGGCAAGUUAUGCCCUCAAUUUCAAAAUGAAAGCCACUGACUACUUCCUUCCAAGACUGAAAUGUAUAAAAUGAUUUGUCUUAUUUUUCUCCCUCUGCCAAUUAGCGAAACUACAGAUGAAAAAUGUAAGGAGAGUAUCCAUUUACAUCCUCAAGAAGACAGCGGUGUAAGUCCUCAAACUGUGCAAACAAAUCAGGAGAACAGCAGUGUCCUUCCUUGACAAAGUAUAUAAAGCUGGAGAACACCUCGAAUUAAAAUGUUGGUCGGGAAGGAAGCGAUUCAUUUCAACAGAAUAAGAUGUGAAACGCAUAAAAUCCCAACUGGAAGUGACCUCACAGAGAUGCAAGCAUGUGCACUUGAAGAUGCCGAAGUGCCCCCGGAAUCUAGGAAAAGCUCCCUCCUCUUAGUUUGGAUUACUGUCACUCCUUCACCCUCUGUCCUUGUGCUCAAAGCACACACCAUCCAUUUAGGGGAAAAGACUGCCCUUGGGCUAUAUAAAUAGCCUCACUUACUUAAAGGACAAACGUGUUGCCUAAGAUCUUGGUUUACCAGUUUGUUAUUUUCCUUUCUUAUUUUCAAAUGUCCAUACUAUGGAAUGGGCUCAUUAACGAGAAUGUGAAAAUCCAGAGGGACGAUGUGAAAAACAAAUAAGUCACAUAGAAUUAUACUACUCUGUGAUAACCACUGGUAAUAUUUCGAUUCAUUUUCUGCUAACCUUUCUUCAUGUAUGUUUCUUUAUACACAAGUCUUACUUAGUUAGUUUUUCUUUUAUAGAGCAAAACCUCCUCCUAUUAGAUCCGAGUAAAAUAUAGCUAUAUCAGUUUUUACUUCCUUAGAAAAGAAUAUUUUCUGUUUAUUAAAAAAAAACAUUAAAUGAUUCUGGAGAAGAGGUUUUCAAGAGAAAUAUCUGAAACAAUGAGCUUUGGAUAUUACCUAAGUUCUAUUUCAAAAGCACUUUUACUCUAUUCUUUACAAAAACAUAACUAUUUUAAAUAAAAGAAUAAUUUUAUUAUAAAAGCAACUGGCUUACUUUUGUAUGGAUUCAGAAUACACUAAAUAAACUAAGAAACUAUGACUUUUAAGAAGUUAAAGAAUUGGGGCUCCUGGGUGGCUCAGUCGGGUGAGCGUCCGACUUUGGCUCAGGUCAUGAUCUCACAGUUCGGGAGUUCGAGCCCCGCAUUGGGCUCUGUGCUGACAGCUCAGAGCCUGGAGCCUGCUUCAGAUUCUGUGUCUCCCCCUCUCUCUGCCCCUUCCCUGCUCAUGCUCUGUCUCUCUCUCUCUCUCAAAAAUGAAUAAACGGUAAAACAAAUUUUUUUUUAAAAAAAGAAGUUAAAAAAUUAAUAUAUAAAUAAGUGGUCUUGGAGUCCUUAACUAGUCCACAUACCUACGGAUCAAAAAUUAUCUGGUGUGAUAUUAUGGGUCAUGCUAAUAAUCUAGAAAAUAUCAGAAUCUUCCCGGAUAUUUAACAAUAGAUUCGCAUAGGACUACUGCUAUCUACCGUGUAAUCCUGGGUUUUAAGCUGCUUUUAGAGUGUAUUCUGCCAAAUCGACCUUGAUAAAUAUAAAGAGUGAGCCGAACAUCAACUGGAAGUUUUCUUUAAAAUCAUGGAAGGUAGGGAAAAACAGAAUAAGCAAAGUCAACUGACAAACCAGAAGAAAAAAUUACAA